GGAGAAUUUUCCAGUAACAUCCAGAAUACCACUAUUUUUGAGGGCCCUGAUCAUUAUGUUAUAAAGGAAUUUGGUUCCCUCCCUAUAGAUGUACAUAGACCUUAAGGCACAAGUGUAGAAAGUGCCACCAUUUUUCAGGGUGGACCCAUUGGCUGCCAGCACUGCCUUCUCAGCCAUCUUUUUGCUGUAUGGGUAUGGAUCA